rnacentral:rRNA from 1 species
AGCGGCCGUCGAGAGGGUGAACGGCCACAUUGGGACUGAGACACGGCCCAAACUCCUACGGGAGGCAGCAG